rnacentral:rRNA from 1 species
UACAGAGGUCUCAAGCGUUGUUCGGAUUCAUUGGGCGUAAAGGGUGCGUAGGUGGCGCUGUAAGUCGGGUGUGAAAUUUCGGAGCUUAACUCCGAAACUGCAUUCGAUACUGCGGUGCUUGAGGACUGGAGAGGAGACUGGAAUUCAUGGUGUAACAGUGAAAUGCGUAGAGAUCAUGAGGAAGACCAGUGGCGAAGGCGGGUCUCUGGACAGUUCCUGACGCUGAGGCACGAAGGUCAGGGGAGCAAACGGG